rnacentral:piRNA from 1 species
CUCUUCCGGCAGCAGCUUUACGGCAU